CGGGUGAGUAACGCGUGGGUAACCUGCCCCAUACAGGGGGAUAACAGUUAGAAAUGGCUGCUAAUACCGCAUAAGCGCACUGCAUCGCAUGAUGAAGUGUGAAAAACUGAGGUGGUAUGGGAUGGGCCCGCGUCUGAUUAGCCAGUUGGCGGGGUAACGGCCCACCAAAGCGACGAUCAGUAGCCGACCUGAGAGGGUGACCGGCCACAUUGGGACUGAGACACGGCCCAAACUCCUACGGAAGGCAGCAG
rnacentral:rRNA from 1 species